GGCUGUGUGCGGUGGGAGGGAGCAGGAGUGCGGGGUGAGGGGGGCUGGGGCCGGCCCUCCCUGGGGGCAGAAGGGCUUGGGGGGGCUGCAAGAGGGUCGGGGGGGGGGCUGGCAGCGGGGGCCAUGCUGCGGGCGAGUGGCCGCCUCUGCCAAGCCGGGCCCAGUCGUGGCGGUCUGGUCCACCCCACAGCGGCCUGGUCCACCCCACGGUGGACCCUUCUUGCCCUAUGUGAAGCCCAGGGCCGCCUCCCAGGGAGGGCGGCUGCUCGGGCCCCAUCCCGUUCCCGCACGCUUUGUCAUCGGCCCAGGCCAGAGCAGCAGCCCCGGGGCUCGAGGGACCGCGUCUCCCUGUCCCCCUCCGCGUGUGUCGCAGCUACUCACUCUCGUUUCCUAGGCCGCGUUUCUUGUCCUCCGUGGAGAGCCCUGGCGCUGUGAAGGGAGGAGGAGGAACGAUGCCCCAAAUUUGGGGUGAUGGCAGCAGGAGAAGCGAAGGACUGUCUCCCAACAGUAAGAGGCAUGCAGCCUGUCCUGUGGAGGAGAGAGAGUUUCAGGCGCUAGGGCACCAUUUUGUUGGGCAUCUGUCGACAUCGAAGUUUUCCAGGAAUCUCUGGGCUUCCUCGGCAAGUGUGGGAGGAGCAAAGCAUCUGCAGGGGAUCAGAAGAAACUUCAUCACAGGACAAUAGAAUUUGCAUGUAUUUAUUUUUCAGAGCUGGUGUUUAAUGAACUCUGCCUAUGAGGGGAAAUGUGUUACACUAAGUGAAAAUACAAGAACCCUAGAAAGUCCCCUGCGCACCGCUGUUAACCAAGAAGUUAACUUGGACGAUGCCUUUUUCAAUACCCACUGUUAAACAGGCCACUGUUAAAAAUAAUUUGUAUCAGCUUGUCUUUUGUUUAAGCAGAUAAAAAAGAAAACCCUCUUCCAACCUGAUACUAAAAAAAGGCUUAAUUUCUGUUGGGGUACCUUGUUUAUAACUGUGCAAUCUAUUGUCAAGCAAAAUAGAGACUUUACAUUCUGUCAUGGUAUAUUGUAAAAUUAUUCAUUUAGCUUUAAGUUACUUAAGGGGGAGGGCUUCCAUCGCUUUCUGUGAGAGUGGACCCUGUUAUACAACUGUUCAUCUGCAACCCUCUCAGCAUUCAGCAGGAGAUAACACGCUUAGUCUGAGUGAGCCUCCAACUCCAGGAAACAGAAAAAAAAAUUGCAUGGAGAAGUUAAAGUAGAAUGAAACCCCUGCUGAGGGUGUCCAUGUCACAAACACUGUGGCGAUUUCUGUAGCAUGUCUUCCAAUUAAUUUAUUUCUGAGAUGUGUAUUAUUAAUGUGUAAGAACACUGCUGCAGGAAUGACACGUAUCUGAGUACCAAAACAGUGUUGAAGGCAACAGUAA